GGCUCAGUGGUCCAAUGGUAAAGCGCUCGUCCUGGAGCCUGAGGGUCUUGGGUUCCAUCCCCAACAGGAUCG
rnacentral:tRNA from 1 species